CAUCAGAGUGUGUUAGUGUACUCGAGGGCAACAAGGUCUCAAAGCCGGAAGAACAAACAAUUGUACAUGGUUCACUGUCAUGACAACAUACUUCCUGCCAGACAAGUGCAAUCAUCCUCUCACCCCCCUUUCACUGUCUAUCCAUCCUCUCCCCCUCAUUCUUUCACUGUCUAUCCAUCCUCUCCCCCUCAUUCUUUCAGUCUAUCCAUCCUCUCUCCCUCAUUCUCUCUAUCCAUCCUCUCUCCCCCUUGCACUGUCUAUCCAUCCUCUCCCCCUCAUUCUUUCACUGUCUAUCCAUCCUCACUCCCUCAUUCUCUCUCUAUCCAUCCUCUCUCCCCCUUUCACUGUCUAUCCAUCCUCUCCCCCUCAUUCUUUCACUGUCUAUCCAUCCUCUCCCCCUUAUUCUUUCACUGUCUAUCCAUCCUCUCUCCCUCAUUCUCUCUCUAUCCAUCCUCUCUCCCUCAUUAUCUCUCGAUCCAUCCUCUCUCCCUCAUUCUCUCUAUCCAUCCUCUCUCCCUCAUUCUCUCUCUAUACAUCCUCUCUCCCUCAUUCUCUCUCUAUACAUCCUCUCUCCCUCAUUCUUUCUUUCUCUACCUAGCUAGGUUGUGAAGUGAGAGCUAGAGAUUGCCAAUCAGCGGUGUUAAACUGGAACUCACCAAAACCUGACCAAAAGGUAUCAACUUUCCCUCAGUAGAAACUUCAACUUACAAUUUUUUAAAACUUUUACAUUGUGUUCAAAUGUGAACUUUUCCCUGAGUUUUCAAUUUAGUUCUCCAAGUAGAGAAAGACAGUCAUUACCUAUUCACUCUGGUAUUGUAUAAUACUUUUUACCACUCCUGUAUCCUAGUAUUAAGUCCACACACAGUUAAAAAUGAGUUUCCUGGACAUCGUCUCAUCAUCCCUACAGUAAUAAAGUAGUUCAUGUUUUUUCAGUGCUGUGACUUUCUUCUCCCAGUGCAAAGUUCACCCUCAACUGACUCCUGCUGGAUGGAGUGAUGAGUGUGUGGGGAAUGGAGAGAGAGAGAAAGAUGAAAGGAAGCAGGCAGGGAGAGGACCCAUGCAUUAUUGAACAGACAGAGUGAAGUUUUAGGGAUAAAUGUAAAAGUGUGGUUAGGGACAACCUUUCCCUCACCUCCCCCUCCCCCUAGCAGAUUAUAAAUCUCUUAUUCAAGGGGGAGGUAAAAAAUUCAAAGCAUGGGGGAGAGUGCGGGGGAGGGAAUGAGUGUACCUGAAAAUGGACAAGAUUAACAAAUGUCUUUAGGAACUUUCUCAAGUGCUAAUCUAGGAGUGCUACUCGCUGUGGUUAGGACUGAGGGAGAGGAGGGAGAGGAGGGAGGGAGGGAUGAGGGGGAGGAAUAGAAAGCACAUUUCCAUGUGGCGCACCAAUGUGGUGAAAAAUUAAGGUGCCUGCAGGCGAACCAGAACUCCUCCUCAGGAACACGACACAGACUGAUACUGAGUAAUGGAGCAGGGCUAGCAAACGUGCCUGAACACACUCCCGCUCUCUCCCCCUCACACACACAGAUCCUAGGUUCUGUAGCAGGGCUAACACACACCCUCUAUAAAAACACCACAGACUAACAUACACACAGAGUCAGAGUCUGUUCCUUAAAGGUUGCAAAUUAAAGUAAAAAACAAGGGCUAGCAAACGUGCGUGACCUAAAACCCAAACCCCUGGAAGUACUAUGCCUGGUCUAAAUGCCAGGAUGAAGACCCUAUGCAGGCUAGACCUCACCACAGAGCAGAGCCUCGUGAGGCUCUAUCCUCCCACUCUGCAGGCUAGGAACAAUGACCUGGAAGGGUUACCGCCAGGGAGAGCGAGGUGAUCUGGGACUUUAUGACUAACAGGUGUCUUCGUCAGAACUAUGCUAGAUUUAAGGACUUUUAGAUGUAAUAUGGGACGUGGUAACAGUAUUUCAGCGAAGCCCUGAAGACUUGGCUGCACCUCAGGAAAAAAAGAUAGUAGAAUAAUCUAACUCCCAACUGGAGAGAGGACGCCUCCUGCUACAUCAGCAGCAGUAGGCAACUGUUAAAUGACUGGAGCUAUUGGCAUCAACAUAGAACGUCAUAAGUCCCUUUACACUCCUCUCCAAUCCUGCCUUAGUCCUCGAGCUUUCUCUCCAUCUCUCUUUAUCCUGCUCUCUCACUCCCUUUCUCCGCCUCUCCCUCCCUCCUCGAAGAGAGGAGGAAGGAAGGAGAGAGGAGAGGGGGGUUAAUGCUGCCAUCUUGUUAUCUGUGUCUUUGAAGAUGCUCCUUUUCUCAAUUGUUUCUAUACCCUGCCAUUGGUGACAUCACAGUCUGUGGCUAGGCGGUGUGCCCGUGUGUGUGAGAGAGAGAAAGAGUGUUCCUCUCCGCUCUUCCUCCAUCUCUCGCUCCCUGUUGAUUAAAAUGCUUCUAAACAUAGAUAUGGCCCUCCUAUGUUCUCUCCCCCUCUCGGCAUUAAACCCCCCCCAACCUGUCCCAUCCUUAAAUAACACACUGAAACUCACUGCACACCAAACGGAGAGAAUGUGUCAUUAACAGAAUGGAUGGAAUAGCAGAGUAGUUAGAAAAGUUUAGGUGUUGCAUAUCACUCCCUACAUCCCUCUUUUGUUCUCUUUUCAACCCCAGAUGUGUAAUGCACAGCCCAGUAAAAGACAGUGCUGCAUUGGUAAACACUGGGAUAUGUAGCAUCUGUAACAAGCUUUCAACCAAAUCCCCCUAAUUACACAGACAUCCUCCUCCUGCCACAUGGGACUGUGUUUACAUGGUAACGGUGUUGAGACGGGGAGCCGUGGCUAGAGGAGCGGUGCUGUUAAACACUGGAUCAUCUCCCGGAAGAGAAGCGAAGAAAGAUUAAGCACACAGUCGUGACGAAGCGUACAGGGCACACCACAUUAGCAUGUAAAACAGAGGGAGAGCCAAGGAGAAAUGGAACGACAGAGAGAAGGGACAAGUGUGUGUGUAAAUAAGAUGUUACGUGUUGGCAGGCCGUAGCAAGAGCUCACAGAUGUGUUUUAACUUGAUAACGACUGAUGAAUGAGCGGCUUUAGAGAGAGGAGCACCAAGAGAAGAAGAUGUGGAGGACCACCAAGAGAAGAAGAAGACGAUGUAGAGAGAGGAGCACCAAGAGAAGAAGAUGUGGAGGACCACCAAGAGAAGAAGAAGACGAUGUAGAGAGAGGAGCACCAAGAGAAGAAGAUGUGGAGGACCACCAAGAGAAGAAGAAGAUGAUCUAGAGAGAGGACCACCAAGAGAAGAAGAAGACGAUGAAGAGAGAGGACCACCAAGAGAAGAAGACGACUAUGUAGAGAGAGGA
rnacentral:lncRNA from 13 species